rnacentral:rRNA from 1 species
CAGCCGCCGCGGUAAUACGUAGGUGGCGAGCGUUGUCCGGAAUUAUUGGGCGUAAAGGGAGCGCAGGCGGACAUAUAAGUCCAUCUUAAAAGUGCGGGGCUCAACCCCGUGAGGGGAUGGAAACUGUAUGCCUUGAGUGCAGGAGAGGAAAGCGGAAUUCCCAGUGUAGCGGUGAAAUGCGUAGAUAUUGGGAGGAACACCAGUGGCGAAGGCGGCUUUCUGGACUGUAACUGACGCUGAGGCUCGAAAGCCAGGGGAGCGAACGGGAUUAGAUACCCCCGUAGUCCCUGUCUCUUAUACA